rnacentral:lncRNA from 1 species
UGCUGCCCAUUGUACGAGAUACUUUGUCUGUUACAUAUUUGUGUGUAAAUAUUUGCAUGUGUAUGCACACACACACUUUAAGUACAUAUGUGGUAACAUUCAGCAACCUGCUACCGUGGCAGAGCGCCUAUCCGUCUAUAAGGCUGUGUCUGUGCGCUGAGGAUCAGAAGGGGCCAGAGUAGCUGGUUCCGGUUGGUCUUCAGAGCCACGGCAGGUGUUCUGUCUUUCCCCCCAGCUCUAAACCAUACCCACUGGGGACUCCAGGAGUCUGACCCAGGAGAGAGGAGGAUCUGAAGGGAAGAAACAGAGAGGUUAAGAGUAUCUUCUCCACUUACCUUUAGUUUGGGGCUUUUUUUUUUUGCUCAAAAGUGGGAAUGAAUUUCAGGAGUGGGCGUGUUUACCGAUGCACAAGUUGCCAAGGCUCUGCGUCGGGAACGGUGGCUGCAGGUGUGAUGGGAGGACCUGUGGGUGAGCUCUCACCCGCAGCACCUUCUGCUUCUGCUCUCAAGGAGCCCUGCUUGCUUGGUACCUCCUCCCCUGAAUCUAGCAGCUCUCCCCUUGGAAGCUGAUUCCGGCUCAGAUGGGGUAUCAGCCCGAGGGGUAUGAGUCAAUGAAACGCAAAGGCUUUAUUUAGCACAGCACUAGGCACAUAGUAAUUAUGCAAUAAAUCUUAGCUAUUUGAGUUACAACCUUUGGUAAAGGGAAUAAUAUUAUUCAACCAAUCUGCAUUACACCACUUCUUUCUUCCAUUAUGGAGCUUGUCUCUCCUUUAAACUGUUAAACUUGAAGAGGGAAACCAAACCUGAUAAUCUGGUCACGUUUAUACACCCAUAAAUUCUACCUCCAACACAUCCAAGCCCUGAUACCUCAAGAUAUAAGCAGAAACCACUAAAGAAUAGAGAAGAGCCCCAAGAGGCUCUAUGAGAAAGCUUUCCCAUUUUGUAGGGUGUUUGCUAAGGGGAGUACUGUGGGAAAACCUAACCAAAGCUGUUGAAGACAUGGGCUCCUCGGUUAUGUGGCAUCCCCCAGUUUUCCUGGGGCUACGUGCUGUAUUACCCUGCCCUGACUGGUAAAUGGUGUUUGUAGAAAUGUGAAAUCCUGAUACUGCGAUUUUUAUUCUAAUUCAGCCUUACUAAAGGCAUCAAGCGCUAUACCCACCCUAUCGGCCUGUUCAUGGACAGCUGUUGAGAGAACCUGAGUAAAACAAUCCCUCCUGGAGACGCAGAAGCCUCCGGCUAUAGAAGAGAGAUCACCAGACUGGCAGCGCCUCCGCUGCUCCCUUGGCAGAGGCUGGGCUCACUCUCCGGAGCUGCCAAGUGAGGUCACUGGAACGAGAUCGUUUCCACAGUGAGCAGUGUUACACUCUUGCCAUUCCUCAAGGCCAUUUAGUUACGAAGUGGCAAAACUAGGAGGCAGAAUUCCCAUUUCCUCAGACUCAUCUGAUGAAUCUCCUAAAUCAGUGCUUCUUGCUAUCCUGGAACGCUUUCGCUAGGAACGACAAUUUUCUUGAAUUUUCAAGUUUCCCUCCUAAAGUUAUUUUGCUGUCUCUACAGGCAGCCAAAUGUUGAUUGUUUUUCUCUGGUUAGGCUGACGCUAACCACAUGGUUGCCGCUUAAAUAAACCGAAUGUUUAAAUAUUAUGCUUAUCAAACACGCAUCCCUUUGCUGCUUUUAUUGAAGUCUGGAUGGCUCUCCGUUUUUGAGCUACUACCCAGUUACCUUUAGGCAUCAUGAAAGGCAAACAGAGAAGGCCUCAAAGAAGAGGUCCCUCCUUUUCUCUACAGGAGCUCUCAUUUAGUCUAAGUGAAGGCCCACACGCAUUUAGAAACUGUUAGCAAGCAGCCCUGAACUGAAGAAUACAUUAAAAGUUUCAAAUUCAUUUUUCUCAUGAAAUGUUUUUGCUUUGGGGGUGAAUUUUUUUUUGGGGGGGGGCCUACAUCCACAGCAUAUGGAAGUUCCCAACCUAGAGAUCCAAUCUAAGCCACAGCUGCAACCUACGCUAUCGUGGCAGCAACGCCUGCCCCUUCACCCUGUGCCACAGCGAGAGCUCCUGGGGUGAAUUUUUAACGCUCUGUAUUAAAAGAAAAACCAUACAUUUGUGUAGGCAGUGUGCUUAGGUAAAAAUCCUUGGCGUGCUUUCCCAUAAAAAUGAUCACCUUCACAAAAACAUGAGGGAGGGGAGAGAUUGGUGGUGACCUAAGAAAUGCCCUUUCUGAAAGAACAGGAGGCUGAGUGGGGUGAAAAACUAGCUUAUCUCUGGAAAUUCCUCUGUUUCCACAUAGCCUGACAUCACCGGAUUUCCCAAAGCUCCUUUGAGGGGGGCCGCCCAUCCUUCUGGCAAAGUUGGCCUUUGAUGAUGACAAGUUGGAGCUCUUCUAGUUCUUUAUAGGCAAAGAAAUCCAGACACGUUCCUUAUAUUUUCACUGUUGAUCAGAAUCAGAUUUUUACGCUCAAUCAAAGUGCAUUCAUAUUGAAGUUAAUAACUCCAGGACAUUUUAUAAGACCCCCCCCCAAAAAAAAUCACUGGAUUAUAUGUAGAUGCAUAUUGCUUCCAUUAUUAUUAAUAGCAAUUAGGUAGUUCCUGCUGCCCCACUGAGAUGAGACUAGGCUCCUAAAUACUUUAUGGUCAGUAUACCUGAUUCAAUUAAUUUACAUGUCACCGUAGUUACGAAUUCGUUCACAUCGGUUUCUGGAAGAUUCAGAUUUGACUAACACUAAGUGUUAGCUCAUAGCGCCCUUGUAUUUUCAUUUAAUUCUCACAACAGCUCUGUAAGGUAGGUCUCAUUAUUCCCAUUUUACUUGCUGAGAAACCAAGACUCAGAGAAGUUAAGUAAAUUUCCCAAAGUCUCCCAGAGCUAACAAAUUGGAGAACUUAGGUUUGAGUCCAGGUCUUCUGACUCCGAAUCCAGUGAUCAGACUGCCUUUUUAGUCCCAAAGAAGUCCAUUUAUCACAGAACUUUUAAAAAAUUAUGUCAUUCGUUAUAUGUACUCUUGGAGUAAUUUGAUAUAUUGGCAUUAUUUAAUAGUUCCUAGGAGUUCCUACUGCAGCGCAGUGGGUUAACAAUAAAACUGCAAAGGUGGUUAGAAUCCUGCGUUGCUUCAGCUGCAGCUCAGAUUCACUCCCUGGCCAGGGAACUUCCAUAUGCUGUGGGUAUAGCCAUAAAAAAAAAAUUCCUGGAGGAAUUCCUGUCAUGGCAUGGGGGAAACGAACCCGACUAGGAACCAUGAGGUUGCGGGUUUGAUCCCUGGCCUCCAUCAGUAGGUUAAGGAUCCAGUGUUGUCAUGAGCUGUGGUGUAGGUCGCAGACACAGCUCCGAUCUGGCCUUGCUGUUCUUGUGACUGUAGCUGUAGCCAGCAGCUAUAACUCCAAUUAAACCCAUAGCCUGGGAACCUCCAUAUGCUGUGGGUGUGGCCCUAAAAAGCAAAGGGGAAAAAAAAGUUCCUGGAAAGCCUGAUGGCUUUCUAUGAAUGACUAUGACAUUUUCUGCCUACUGAGAACAUUCUGUGUUUAUUUAAUAAAAACUUGUAUUAUCUAUCAUCUACCUUAGGGGCAGACGAUCAUGCCAGUUUAUUCUAAUUAAAUUCAAGUCACUUACAAACUGCACCUGUUUUGACAUUGGUAUCGUUGCUUAAAAUGUAAAGGACUUCCUAUGACACAAUUACAUGCUCAGGGUUCUUACUUUUGCUUUUUAAUUUUGAUGUCAGAGGACUUUUAUAAUCUUUAGGCUAAAGCCCCCUCAUAGCAAAAUAAUACUUAUUUAGUCAUUUGUUUUCUCUUCUUUCUCUUAUCAGCACAUGUUUUUCCAUUUUGCAACUUAAAAAACAAGAGGUUCUAAGUUACUGUGAGAGAGCCCAGAGAUAUUAAAAGCCUAUAAAAGAUCAACAAGACAGUAAGUAGUAGAUUUAGGACUAGGAAAUUAAUCCAGAAUCUUUCCUCCAUAACAUAGCCGGGAAGUUUUGGAUUUUUAAAAAUUAAUUAAUGGAGCUGCAUCUGGCGGAACAUCUGACUAGCAAAAGCCUCCAGAGAGUGCCUGCCUUCCCAGAAAAGCACUCAUCAAGAUCCAGAAGAGGGCCAAAUGUUCAUUCUAGAAUCUAGAAGGAAUCAAUACACUUUACAAGGCAUUUGGAGUUGGAGGGAGGCAAAAGCUCUCAGGUCGUAGCUCACUGUUUUCUUGGUCUUCAUGAGACAGAGGUUCUGUGACAUAAACAAUCUGAAAGACACUUGAUACUUGUUCUCCGUAACCAUGGCUGUCUCUUUGCUCAGAGCCCCGGAGCCAGAGAAAUAACUGGCCGAUCCCCUCUCUUAACCAGAAGCCACACUGGGAAGUGAAAGUGUCUUCUGUCAUCCCCCCCCACCCCACCCCCCCCGCCUCCCCACCUUCCAUCUCCUCACCCACCUCCUCUUCAUUCGGUCCAGCUCAAAAUCCUAGGGCUAAAACGUGGGCAGAAAGCAAAGAAGAUCUAUUAGAGACAUAGAGCGUUCUGAGAAAAACACCCUUUAGAUGAAGGCAGAAACAGUAAAUAACCAAGUAGCACGGCAUACAAAUGUUGUGAUUUUUUUCAUGUAUGGCUUUGGAUCAGAAAACCAGGCACUAGGAAGGAAAAGGAUGCCACUUCAAUGGAAAAGUGUUAGAUGAGAAAUUAUUCUUGGACAUAUGCACAUCUCCUUACCAUCAACCUCUGCAUCCCCAGAAAGGGAUCUGACAAACACGCAAGUGGACAGAUAGUAUAACCAAGGGUGAUUCCUGGGUUUGAGAGGAAAGGACCACAUUUAAAGAUGAGUAUAGAGAAAACAAAAUGAGUCAUUGAAAACGUGUGACUGAACCAGGGAAAAUGAACAGCCUCCAGAACACUUGAAAAUGAAAGUGGUGUAUUGCAGGGAACAAACAAAAAAAUAUAGCAUUGUCUCUGUCAUAAUUGAAGGAAGAGAAGAAUUGCUUCUAUCCAGCAAUAGUGUAUUAUCUUAAAAUGGGAAUGGCUUAAGAGAAAAAGCAAUAUAAUAAAAUGGAAAAGAAGAUAAAUUAGGAAGAAGGAUUUCGAGAGAGCUAAAGACACACUAGGAGAUUAAAAUCCACAUUGGAAGCAAGAAAGAACAAUAUUGAUG